GACGAACGCUGGCGGCGUGCUUAACACAUGCAAGUCGAACGGAAAGGCCCUGCUUGCAGGGUACUCGAGUGGCGAACGGGUGAGUAACACGUGGGUGAUCUGCCCUGCACUUCGGGAUAAGCCUGGGAAACUGGGUCUAAUACCGGAUAGGAGCCAUUUUUAGUGUGAUGGUUGGAAAGUUUUUUUCGGUGUAGGAUGAGCUCGCGGCCUAUCAGCUUGUUGGUGGGGUAAUGGCCUACCAAGGCGGCGACGGGUAGCCGGCCUGAGAGGGUGGACGGCCACAUUGGGACUGAGAGACGGCCCAGACUCCUACGGGUGGCAGCAGUGGGGAAUAUUGCACAAUGGGCGCAAGCCUGAUGCAGCGACGCCGCGUGGGGGAUGACGGCCUUCGGGUUGUAAACUCCUUUCGCUAGGGACGAAGCUUUUUGUGACGGUACCUAGAUAAGAAGCACCGGCUAACUACGUG
rnacentral:rRNA from 1 species